AAUCUGUGAAUUAACAGAGAAGAAGAAGAAGAAGCUAGUACUAAACCAAUAAGUUUACACAUAAUCCAUGAACGUAUCUCACAGGUCACAACAUUUUCCUUCAUUAUUGUUCCCGCAAUCCAUCUCUCCACUGAGAUACAUCAUCCACUCCCCUCAUGCUUCCAGCCAUUGUCAUGAUUCCGAGAGGCAAACCAGAACACUUCUUCACAAUAGACACUGCAGUUUUUUUCAUUUCAGGACAAAGUGUAACACCAUGCCCUAAUCCGUCUAUGAACAAAUCCCAAGCCUCACCCUCAGAAAGAGGCUCCACUUUGAUUAUCCUUUGGCAAUCCAUUUUUCGACAUGUGUCCAAUGAUCUAGUUGUAAGAAUCAGCGUACACCCAUCUGUUUUAAGAGGUAUUCCCACUUUAUCAAGAGGAAAAUGAUUCCACAAAUUAUCAAUAAUUAAAACACAUUUUGUCACACUCAAUGUAGUCCAUAGCUCCCCGGCUCUAUUCACCACAUCUUUUUUAUUCCCAAGAUGUAAACCAAAAGCUUCGGCAAUGAGAUCCUGCAAUGCGUGAACGCUAAAUUCUGGAGGCACAGAAAUCCAACAAACACGAGGGAAAAUGUCUGGUUUCUCUUGAAGCUGAUUGUGGAUAUGUGUAGCCAAAGUUGUCUUUCCAUGUCACUUGGUCCAACUUUUGAUCCAACUUGGCUUCCAUGUCACUUGGUCCAACCUUUGAUCUUCUCAGUUCUAGCAAUGCAUCUCUCCAACGAUAUUCAGCAACCACUCCCUUCAUGCUUUGAGCCAUUGUCAUGAUUCCAAGAGGCAAACCAGCACACUUCUUCACAAUAGACUUUGCGAUCUUUUUCGUUUUAGGAUGAAGUGUAACACCAUGCCCUGAUCUGUCUAUGAACAGACCCCAAGCCUCACCCUUAGAAAGAGGCUCCACUUUGAUUAUCCUUUGGCAAUCCAUUUUUCGACAUGUGUCCAAUGAUCUAGUUGUAAGAAUCAGCUUACACCCAUCUGUUUUAAGAGGUAUUCCCACUUUAUCAAGAGGAAAAUGAUUCCACAAAUUAUCAAUAAUUAAAACACAUUUUGUCACACUCAAUGUAGUCCAUAGCUCCCCGGCUCUAUUCACCACAUCUUUUUUAUUCCCAAGAUGUAAACCAAAAGCUUCGGCAAUGAGAUCCUGCAAUGCGUGAACGCUAAAUUCUUGAGGCACAGAAAUCCAACAAACACGAGGGAAAAUGUCUGGUUUCUCUUGAAGCUGAUUGUGGAUAUGCGUAGCCAAAGUUGUCUUUCCAAUUCCCCCCACCCCGUAAAUGCCAAUGCAUAAAACCUCAUCAUUCAACAACAAAGAGCAGGCACCCUUCAUAUUUCUUUCAAACGCUUGGCCCGCCACUGGCUUCGUUGUCGGCAAUACAUAUCUUCCUGUCCUACGUUUCUUAUGCACAGGACUUUUAGAAGAGGGUUGUAUCUCAACAUCAGACUGCCUCAAUUCCGGACUCGUGGUCAGUCUACCAAUUCUUAACCCAAAAUCCCUCAUUGAUGAUGAUGAGAUGUUAU
rnacentral:lncRNA from 1 species